CUACUUCUGCUUUUCAAAGAUAAUAAAAUAUAAUUGUUCAUCUAUUUGCAGCCAAAUUCACAUGAGAGUGUAAAAGUUGAGUUUGGGAGCGUGGCCAGCAACAGCUUAAUUGGAUUUAAAGUGUUAGAGGCCCUAAGACAACUCAUUCUGAAAGGAGCU